rnacentral:rRNA from 1 species
GAUCACACUCCAACAUGAGAGUUUGAUCCUGGCUCAGAACGAACGCUGGCGGCAGGCCUAACACAUGCAAGUCGAACGAGAAGCCGGAGCUUGCUCUGGUGGAAAGUGGCAGACGGGUGAGUAACGCGUGGGAACCUACCCAAGGGUUCGGGAUAACUCAGGGAAACUUGAGCUAAUACCGGAUACGCCUUGCGAGGGAAAGAUUUAUCGCCCCUGGACGGGCCCGCGUCGGAUUAGCUUGUUGGUGGGGUAAUGGCCUACCAAGGCUACGAUCCGUAGCUGGUCUGAGAGGAUGAUCAGCCACACUGGGACUGAGACACGGCCCAGACUCCUACGGGAGGCAGCAGUGGGGAAUCUUGCACAAUGGGCGCAAGCCUGAUGCAGCAACGCCGCGUGCGGGAA